AUAUUACUAGACCGAAAGCUGCGUGCGCGUUCAGCACAAAACAAAUGAGAUUAGGCUCCGCCUACCGCGAUCAUUUGAAGACAAAAAUAAGCCCUCAUUGACAUUCAUGAGCAUGAAGAUAUUCAUAAUCCGGCCUUUUCAUUGGCUAAGAGCGUCAUUAAUACGCGAUUUCCCCGAUUCUUUGUCAUCGAUACUAGUGGUAUCGUGUUACAGAAUUAAUUAUUCAUUUGACCUCAUUACGUCAUCUAAUUUAUUCAUUAUGAAACUUUUCUUUCCACACAAAAAUGGACCUACAAACACUCCGGUUGAGUUUGAAGAACAAGAAAAACAGUAGAGGUCUACCCAGUACCUAUGGUUAAACAUGAUGAUCAUAAGUGCAUGUAUCAUUUUGCAGAUUCUCAUCCAGAUGAUGCAGCUCUACAACUUCCAUGGAGGUGAUUGAUGAUGAUAAACAAUUGGUGAAGUAGGCCUAAUAGAACAGUGAUAGGACCACAAAGAGAAAUACAACCUACAGCAGUUAUAUGAGACUGGUGUAACAGAUGUUUUCAUUCAAGAAACCCAACAAAUUGAAAAGUGACUUAGCUUAGGAAGCACUUGAUAAAGAUGGAAAAGGUUUUUUUUUUUCAAGUCCAAUUUUUUUUUUUUUAAUUAUCAUCACAACCCCAAAUUCAUGAAGUAUGAAAUUUCCUGUCGAUUUUCAUUAAAACUGGUUGCAAAAGGAAAAGCUAUAAACAUACAAAUAGGAGCGGCGAAGUGAAGUUGAAAGUGGGGGGGGGGGGCACAGGGAAAAUGCUGUAUUAUGUGAAAUUUUAAAGAAGUUGCGAGAGAGCAAAAUUUUGACAUUUUAAAAAAGAAAAUCCAAUUUUGUGAUAGAUUUCGACAAAAUAUUCAGAAUGAUAUAUUUCACCCUUUUUUUUUGGGGGGGGGGCAAGAUUCCUUCAAGCCCCCCCCCCCUCCAUCUGUAGUGUACGAAACUGCUUAUCUACCCCCACUCACAUGAAUUAUUAAACUUAAUGCACAAAGGAUUUCCUUAUUGUUUUCUUGUUUCAAAGGGCACUCGUCAUUCUUUAGGAGCACUUUUCUUGGGUAAAAGGGGGCAGUUAUUCGAGAAAGGGCACUUACAAGAAGGCGAGGGGGUACUUUUUAACACUUAAAACGGGCCCUCAGAUGAAAGGGCACAGAACACGUUCGGGGGGCAUUUUUUGGUAAAAAUUUGCACACAAGGAAGAGCACUUGGUAACACCUAAAACAGGUUCUCGUCAGGUUAAAGGGACACAGUUCACGUUCGUGAGGGGGCAUUUUUCUUACAUAAAAUUAAAGGCACUUUUCAGUGCUUCAAAAAGUAGGGGGAACUGUGCCACCCAGGAUCGCUGCCCCUGCAUACAAAAAACAUUUUUGUUCGAUUCAAAGUAUUAACAUACGCUUAAGAAAAAAAGUAAGGCUAAAUCCUCUGAUAAUGUGAUAUUUUUUUCUGGCUAUUAAUAAAAUUCACAACUAACC